UACGUAGGGGGCAAGCGUUGUCCGGAUUUAUUGGGCGUAAAGAGCGUGUAGGCGGUUAGGUAGGUCCGUUGUGAAAACUCGAGGCUCAACCUCGAGACGCCGAUGGAAACCAUCUAACUAGAGUCCGGAAGAGGAGAAUGGAAUUCCUGGUGUAGCGGUGAAAUGCGCAGAUAUCAGGAAGAACACCCGUGGCUAAGGCGGUUCUCUAGUACGGUACUGACGCUGAGACGCGAAAGCGUGGGGAGCAAACAGG
rnacentral:rRNA from 1 species